AGAGUUUGAUCCUGGCUCAGGAUGAACGCUGGCGGCGUGCCUAAUACAUGCAAGUCGAGCGAACAGAUAAGGAGCUUGCUCCUUUGACGUUAGCGGCGGACGGGUGAGUAACACGUGGGUAACCUACCUAUAAGACUGGAAUAACUCCGGGAAACCGGGGCUAAUGCCGGAUAAUAUUUAGAACCGCAUGGUUCUAAAGUGAAAGAUGGUUUUACUAUCACUUAUAGAUGGACCCGCGCCGUAUUAGCUAGUUGGUGGGGUAAUGGCUUACCAAGGCAACGAUACGUAGCCGACCUGAGAGGGUGAUCGGCCACACUGGAACUGAGACACGGUCCAGACUCCUACGGGAGGCAGCAGUAGGGAAUCUUCCGCAAUGGGCGAAGGCCUGACGGAGCAACGCCGCGUGAGUGAUGAAGGUCUUCGGAUCGUAAAACUCUGUUAUUAGGGAAGAACAAAUGUGUAAGUAACUGUGCACGUCUUGACGGUACCUAAUCAGAAAGCCACGGCUAACUACGUG
rnacentral:rRNA from 1 species